AGAGAGAGAGAGAGAGAGGAACGUGGAGCUUAACUAUUUCGUGGUGACGUGGAUAAGUACGUGGACAGUUAGUUAUUUUCGGUAGUGAUGUGGAUCUUCAUUUUAGCUUUGGAAUCCAGGUAGGGGAAAUAAGGCAAACCUUUACGGAAAUUGAUUUUAUUAAAUUUCGUGAAGUGAUAAUAUUCUUAAUCUUUUUGGUUGAUUAAUGUGGUUGAAUAGUUAUUGACUAAUUGCUUUUGUUAAGUGUUUACUUGUGAUUGGUUAUGGAAUUAUUGCUGAAAUGUUAUUCGUUGAGAAUAUACUAUGAUACAUAUGGAAGAUGAAUUGAUAUUAUUUGUGUCCUUCAUGUUGAUGUGGUGGGAAUUUCAGUAUUCAUAUUGGAAGUAUGGAAAUGAGGGUAGUUGGAAAGGAUCUUUUGUGUAGUUGAAUCUAUUCAUUGUGAAACCAGUUCCAAGCGAGCCCGAUGUGCACAGUAGAAUAGGAUAUCGACGGGAAUUGUCGAUGUGGGUGAUUUGGGCUGGAGAUCAAUGAAUUAGAUAAGAUGACUAGCAAAAGGGGUUUAUGAACUUGGGAUAUCAUAUGGGGGUUAGUUUCUAUAAUAGAACAUUCAAACCACCUCUACAGGGGUAAAAUGCAUGGUAUGGGAUGUGCAGGUUCACGUGUUUUAUUUUAUAAAUUAACGGGGGUAACUGAAGAGGUUGCAUGGCAUUCAUGCAUCGUUAUAAUUGCUGUUUUGAGAUUUGGCUAUAUGAUUUCAUGAUACUUAAUUUAAUAUUGUCAAUUUACUGUGAUAAGGUUAUGUCCCUACUGAGCUAUUGAAGCUCAUCCCUUUAUUAUUAUGCAGGUUUAUGAACUAGACGUUCAAGUGAAUAGGCAAGAUGAGAUCGGAUUAGAUUGGAAGAAUAAAAAUUUUAUUCAUCUCUUUACUGUAGGUUGUAAAGAAUUCUUGAUUUGUUUGAUAAUCAUGAAUUAUUUUUAAUAAGAGGAGUUAUUUUCCAACCCGUGUCAAAUUUUAUUUAUUUAUUGAGCUUUUAACUCACGUUUCAGAUUCGGGUUCGAGUUUUAUUACUGACUCCGGGUCUUGGGCGUGACAGAAUGGUAUCAGAGCAUAGGUAUUAGACACCCAUGGAUAAGAACUAUGGGAGAAGAUUAGCAUAAGCCAGAUAAGUUUGAAUUUAGAAGAGUAUGUGCGAUGGGUUUUGUUAGUAAAGGUUUUGGGUGGCCUCUAGUGAUAUGUAAAGUGUACGAAUAGACUUAAAUGUGAAGUCAGCUUUUGCAAAUGAUCUUGACAAUUGAAUUUAUAUGUGGAUCUUUUGAGAAAGGAAAUUAAGUUUGAUCCAAAAACGAAAAGGAUGAAAGUUAAGCAAUGCAUGCCUAUAACUUUAAGGUGAAUUUUUCAGGUGAAAUGGGUUCAGGAGUGACUAAAGGAUGAGAGAACUUGAAAUGUGGAGUUAAUAGUCAUGAUUUGGUGAGAAUGGUAAGAAACUAAAGUGUUUUGUUUGAGAAGUUAGUGUGUACUCAACUCACUUGACUCUGAACAAUGAAGCAUACAUGAGUAUAUAAGCAAAUUCUACCAAAGGAACUUCUUGAGAAAAUUGGUCAGUUAGUUGAGGGAUUAGAAGCGAUCUUAGAGUUAAGAAUUGAAUGAGACGAGAAUUUGACACGACAUAGAGUUUUGAAAUUUCUGGUGUUAUCUUGAUCUCGAGAAAUGGACAGGUAGGAAGGAUUUUAUGCAAAGGAUUUUAUAAUAAGUUAGUUACAUACAAUCUUGGAAUGAUUGUAUAUGCAGUGUGUAACUACUGAACAAAUUGCCAGAUUUAUUCCUAAGAUGAUAGAAAGAAUUAUGAUCACUUUGGAUUUGUAAUUUUGCAAUGGAGUUAUGAAUUAGCUAGGAUUUAGGUUUGAAUUCAGUGUGGUUCACGAUUUUAGAGAAUCACUUGCAAAAUUUUUGUUAUAUACAGAAUCAUAAUUAUGAAGGAGAAUUAGUGCUUCAAUAUGAGGAUUUGGGUAUUUAUAAACUGAUCAGAAGAAUUUGAGAGUACCUAUAUUGAUGCAGAAGAGUAUUCUACAUGUUUCAGUGUUGAAGAAUUCAAAGCAAUGUAUAAAUGCUUUGUAUAAUGAUAAUUAGGCUUGAAUAAAUAGUAGAGAUGAUGAAAGAUGCUCUAAGAGGAGGGAUGAACUUUGUUUGUCUGUCAGCUAGUUUGAUGAAGAUAUGACAAGUUUUGGAAAUCAAAUUAAGAUGGAGAAAAGAGCAACUGUACUGAUAAUAUCGUCUGUACGGAAUGAGAGUAAUUUUCAAUGAGUAAGAUUCGGUUAAUUUUAAGAAGAAAAAGAAUUAAGGAGUUGAGGAUUUUAGAUGAAAUGAAACCGAUCAAGAAUGGAUCAUGAUACAAUUGGUGUUAAGCUUUUGAAUAAUUAUUGCAAGAAGUUGAUGGUAUUAUGAAAGGUGGUGUAUCACUGGAAGAAAUAAAAGCUUCUUUUUGAAGAUGCAUGGUGGUGAAAAUAAGAGCAAAGGACCUAGAGGGAAUGAAAACCACAAGUAUACACUCUUGGUGAUAUAAGUAUAAAGAAAAAGUGAAAGACAGUAGAGAAAGGGAAAGUGGGAGUGCCAUAAAUUGGUGACUUGGAAUUUAGGAUUUAAUAGGAGUUUGGACUAUUAAAUUUGGACGUGGACUACUACUUGAUUGGAAUGGAGUUACUGGAAUGAGAAUUGUGUUGAAGUUGUCUUGUGGUUAGAAUUGGAAUAGAAGAAAAAGAAAUGGGUUCAAGGUAAAGUGAAGCUUAGGCUUAUUGUUUAACAAAAAGGAAAUAACAAUAACAAAUUGUGGACUUAUAUUACAAGUGAUAUUUCAAAUUAUUGUUAUAGUGUCUCAUAGCUGGUAACUAGCAUCGGAAAGUUUAAUAUGGGCCAGCCAUUGAAUAUUAGACUUAUAUAGAGUUGAUUAUGUUACUGAAGGGAUAUAAAUAUAAGGAUUGCAAUAUUAUUGAAAAUUAAUUUCAGGAUUAUUACAAGAUAUACAAGGAAAAUCGUGAUGUUGGGGAAGUGAAAGGGGUGAAUUUUCUAAAGUGGAUGACAUUGAAAGGUUUCUAAAUCUUAAGGGCGGAGAGUGAGCGAUUAAGGACUGGGAAACUGAAAUAUCAAAUUCGACUUACUGGAGAGAAAUACUUUGAUGUUAGAUUUGAUUGUUAUAAGAUGAAUUCGUACAGCAACAUUUGGCCAUUAAGUAGUAUGAGCAGAUGAUAUUUUACUUUAAGAGAAGUACUUGGAGUAUACAUAUGUUUUGGGGUUUCAAUCCAUGACCAAAGUGUGGAGAUCAAACACACAAGUGUAGUGUUGAAGUUUAGUAUGUUAGGUACACAUAUUUUGAUUGUGAAAAUAAGAUUGGAGAUUUGUUGUGCGAUGGAUAUUUGAACUUUGUUACUACACAACAUUGGAUUGUAUGAUGAAUCAGAUGAAAUCACGAAUAACGUGUGGUAAGAAUAAGAGAAUCAAUGUAGUGAACUAAGUGAUGGGUACCGAAUGAUGUAAACCAUUGAGGCAUCAGAAAUACCACCACAUGUAGCUAUGAUUCCGUUUGGAAACUAUAGUUAGGGUUUGGUUAAAUGCCCUUGUUAGUUACAAGUACUUUUAUGAGAUUGUAAUUAGAGGCAACUGUAGUUGUGGCAAAUUAAGCUUUUGAGAUUGGAGGUGCAGUCAGAAUGAUCCUAUAUACAUAAUGUACCCUAUGAAGAAGUAUUGAUUUGAAUAGUUGAAAGGAAAAUGCUUAGGAAUUGGUAAGUACCUCUUGUGAAGGUUAUAUGGCAAUACCAUGGAACUGAAGAAACCACAUGGGAACUAGACUCCGACAUGAGAAGGAAAUAUUUGCACAAGUUUAAUGUGUUGGGCAAAAUUUGAGGACAAAAUUAGAGAUUAAGAAUCUUUACAAAAUGAUGGAAGAUUGGAUCUUCUUAUUACCUUAAAGGUAAGGUACUACUAGAAAACGACAUGAGAAAUAUGAAGUUGACCAUUCGCAUCAAGGUUAGUGUACGAGUUCAAUAAGCUAUGAAGCCGAGGAAACAAUUUGGGGAUGAGAAUCCGACAUUUAGAUACCCAUCUACAUUUGUUGAGUAGUUCAGUAUUCGGUGGAAUGCACAUGCAGUAUAAAGACUGGAAAGUAUUAGCUAGUUGUUUCUUUUCUUAUUCAUGUAAUCAUUGUCAUUCGCUCGAGUUAAGGGACCAAUUGGCCACCGGAUCUUUGAUACUCUAUAGUGGAAUGUCGGUUGAUUUAUGGAAUAAGAAAUAUAACAUAUAGCAUGCUAAGAAAAUUGUGCAAAGGUACCCUCAAUUUUCUGGAGGUUUAUGUGUGUUUGACUAAGUACUAGAUAUGAACACGAGUAACCAGUUGCUUAAGAUUUCGAAUUUGACUUGGAGAAUUAGAUGAAUCGUUGCGGUACAUGCAACUAUGGAUUGACUUGGAAAUCAAAGUUCGAUCACAGGUGAAAACUUUGGACUUGUCAAGUAAUUGAGGGUUUAAAGUAAAUCUUGAGGACGAGAUUUAUUUCAAGGAGGGCGGAUUGUGAGAUCCCAAGAAUUUAUUACCAAAGAAGAAAAUUAUUUAGAAACUAUUUAUCGAAAAGGUCAUUAUAUGAAGAUAGUAGGAAUUAUUAUGAGCUCGUGGCAUUUUUGAAAUACAUUUCGAAGUUCAUAUGAAUAUAGAAUUUACAGCUGGACCAAUGAAUUGAUGACACAUGGCAGCAAUUGAGUGGCUAAGUUUGCCACAUGGGAUCAACCAACAUGCCAGCACAGACAUUUGUCAUGUUAAUAGCAUGCUAGGUGGAAAGUGAUUAGAUGAGGUAGUCAAAUUACUACACCAAUAUUAAGCAGGAGGUGGCCUUUCUUUACAUGUGGAAGUCUAAAAGUUAAUCAAACUUUCUACAAACCACAGGUGGAAGUAAGUUUACACGUGAAAUACUUCCACCUAUGGUUUGUAGAAAGUUUACAUGCACACAAAGGAGAUGCAAGUGACUCAUGGUUUUAUUAGUAGGACGUGUUUGUAUCAGAGAAACUAUUAUCCAAAGUGGAGAUAAAAAUAUCCAGCAGGUGACUUGCUUAAUGCCCAAGCCUUUAUCUAAUUGGCAUGUAGUUUGUAGCCGCCUCCUAUUGCUAUAAAUAGGAGAUCAUCUCCAUAUGUUUUCGAAGGAGAGCUAGCACGCAAUGCAGGCUCUAUAGCUCAUGUGUGCGUGUAUAUAUGUCUAUAUAUUUAUAUCGAUAUGGUCGUACGCAUAUUAUAUGAUAUAUAUGUUUGCAUAUACUUGUAUGCAUACCUACGCGCAUAUAUAUAUAUAUAUAUAUAGAGAGAGAGAGAGAGAGAGAGAGAGAGAGCGAGGAACGUGGAGCUUAACUAUUUCGUGGUGACGUGGAUAAGUACGUGGACAGUUAGUUAUUUUUGGUAGUGAUGUGGAUAAUAAGGCAAACCUUUACGGAAAUUGAUUUUAUUAAAUUUCGUGAAGUGAUAAUAUUCUUAAUCUUUUUGGUUGAUUAAUGUGGUUGAAUAGUUAUUGACUAAUUGCUUUCGUGAAGUGUUUACUUGUGAUUGGUUAUGGAAUUAUUGCUGAAAUGUUAUUCGUUAAGAAUAUACUAUGAUACAUAUGGAAGAUGAAUUGAUAUUAUUUGUGUCCUUCAUGUUGAUGUGGUGGGAAUUUCAGUAAUCAUAUUGGAAGUAUGGAAAUGAGGGUAGUUGGAAAUGAUCUUUUGUGUAGUUGAAUCUAUUCAUUGUGAAACCAGUUCCAGGCGAGCCCGAUGCGCACAGUAGAAUAGGAUAUCGACGGGAAUUGUCGAUGUGCGUGAUUUGGGCUGGAGAUCAAUGAAUUAGAUAAGAUGACUAGCAAAAGGGGUUUAUGAACUUGGGAUAUCAUAUGGGGGUUAGUUUCUAUAAUAGAACAUUCGAACCACCUCUGUAGGGGUAAAAUGCAUGGUAUGGGACGUGCAGGUUCGUAUGUUUUAUUUUAUAAAUGAACGGGGGUAACUGAAGAGGUUGCAUGGCAUUCAUGCAUCAUUAUAAUUGCUGUUUUGAGAUUUGGCUAUAUGAUUUCAUGAUACUUAAUUUAAUAUUAUCAAUUUACUGUGAUAAGGUUAUGUCUCUACUGAGCUGUUAAAGCUCAUCCCUUUAUUAUUAUGCAGGUUUAUGAACUAGACGUUCAAGUGAAUAGGCAAGAUGAGAUCGGAUUAGAUUGGAAGAAUAAAAAUUUUAUUCAUCUUUUUACUGUAGGUUGUAAAGAAUUCUUGAUUUGUUUGAUAAUCAUGAAUUAUUUUUAAUAAAAGGAGUUAUUUUCCAAUCCGUGUCAAAUUUUAUUUAUUUAUUGAGCUUUUAACUCGUUUCAGAUUCGGUUUCGAGUUUUAUUACCGACUCCGGGUCUGGGGCGUGACAAUUUCCUAAUUCCAAACUUUGUGAAACGUUGCCAUGUUAUAUAUUAUAAUGGAUUGUUUACACAGAAAAUUUUCCAUCCAUUUUGUACAAGAAAUGCAUUUAUGGUAAAUUUUUAAGUGUGAUAUGCUGCUGGAUUUUUUGCAGCAUAAUCUGUUUGUGAUAUUAUUUUGAUAUACCUACGCAACUCCUAAAUUCAUGAAAUUUAAGUAUGAUACACAUUGAUAUGUUUAUUUUAAAUCUGUAAAUUUUCACCAGAAUUGGAUGAAAAAUGUGUUAUUGGUGAAUUAUUUAUUCUCGGGAAUGUAUUGCAGAAUUUCUGCCGUUUCUGCAGCAUAUUCCAUUUCGCUUUUCUUUUUGGCCCAUUUUCAAAUUCUCAAAAAUUAUGAAAUUUUAGGUAAGAAUAAAUUUAUAUGUCUACUUCAUUUAUGGAAAUUUUCAUGCACUUUGGAGUAAAAACGAGUAUUUGGUAAAUUCUUUAGUUUCGGGUAUGUACUACAGAAUUUCUGCCGUUUCUUCAGCACAUUUCUUUUGGAAUUAAGUUAUUACUCACUUGUAAAAAUUUAAAAAUUAUGAAAUUUUACGAAAUCAUGACCAUAUAUGUCUAGUUCAUAUCUAAAAAUUUUCAUGACAAUCUAAAUAGAAUUAAGUUUUUAGUGAAUUUGCAAACUAAAGUAGUACUAUUGAAUUUUGGUACUUCAAAACUAGUUUUGUUAUGUGAUAUUAAUGUUUCACUGAUUUACAUCUAUUGUUACCGAUUAUUGUACAAGUUUAUGGUUCCAAUAUGUCCUCAUUUUAUGCAAAUUCUCAAUACUAACGACUUUUAUAGACAACACUGAUUAAAUUUUGAUUUAAAGAUUAUUGGUUUGUUUUGCUUAAAC
rnacentral:lncRNA from 1 species